rnacentral:rRNA from 1 species
CAGUAGCCACGGGAAUACAGAGGGUGCGAGCGUUAAUCGGAUUCACUGGGUUUAAAGGGUGCGUAGGCGGAUCUGUAAGUCAGUGGUGAAAUCUCCAGGCUUAACCUGGAAACUGCCGUUGAUACUAUAGGUCUUGAAUUUUGUGGAGGUUAGCGGAAUAUGUCAUGUAGCGGUGAAAUGCAUAGAUAUGACAUAGAACACCAAUUGCGAAGGCAGCUGGCUACACAACUAUUGACGCUGAGGCACGAAAGCGUGGGGAUCAAACAGGAUUAGAUACCCCCGUAGUCCCUGUCUCUUAUAC